UUGUCCACAAAAACUCCCAGCGCUAUCCAAAAAACAAAGUAUUUUUAAUUUAUCAAGAAAGCAUUAUCUUGUUCUAAUGUUUUUGAUUUCACAAUUGUAUGAAUAAAUACAGUUUUUUCUUUAUGCAUUUCUUUACUUUAUAUUUUAUAUUAUAUUUUGCUGAUGAAAAUGUGUUUAUGGACAGGUACCUCAACUCGACGUUGCUGUAUGUCCGGUCCAAUAAUGUAAGUUAUAAGUCAUUGUGUAUAUUUUAAUACAAUAAAAGCAUAGUAAAAAAAUAAUUAAUAGACUAUAUUAAUGUAGUACCUACUUAAUUAAUUUAAUAUACCUAACCGUACCUAUAUACAUAUAAAAAUAUUAUAAUAAUAUAUUAUUUAUGUUUGAAUUCAUUAGAACAAUGGCGUAUCAGACGUCGCUCCCAAACCGGUCGACAUCCAUCUGCAUAACUCAUUCCGCAAGAAUGAGUGGUAUAGUUUGAAAACUUACCAAAGUUAUCUGGUGGAUGUCGAUACGUUGGUGAGCAGCCGUCGCACAUAGGUCUGAUGUACCUAUGGAAAGUUAUUAUUGGAUCGGUCAUAAUAUUACGUUGAGAAGUUAUCUGUCCAUAAACUUAUUUUCAGAUUUGUAGGCCAAUUCCGUUGCCAUUUUUUAAUCAUUCUUUGUUUUUAUUAAGGUUGAGGUGUAACAGCAUUUUAGGGGCUAUUGUAAUUCCCACUUCCAGGACUUUAUCAUACAUACAGCCGACAGCACGAUGACCUACAUUUUUGUGUAUUAUGGUCUACACUAUGAUGGCAGCGAAGUAACGAUCACGUCACCGUUUAUCAGAUUGCCCAGUUUGAAAGAGUCUCCAACAAUUUCAUCGGAUAGGUACGCCAUAAACAGUGGCAUAGCGCUGGGCCAGCAUCAUUUUGUCCGGAUCAAUAUCUAAAAAAAUGACGUCCCAAUUAUUAGAAGCUAAUAAUAUAGUGUCUUGUCGAACAGUCAGCUGUACGAAGUUUCCGCUGUGCCACAAAACGGGUCGACGCCGGUCGCUGAACAUGGGAAGUCCUCAAGUCCACCCAGCAUCGUAUUGAUGAAUCAACAAUACAUCUUACAUCUUACAUCUAUCAUUGCAAUUUUAUAAUUAUUCACCUGAAUGCAUGUAAUCCUGAAUGUACAGUUAAUUUAUUACUACCCAUCUACAAA